rnacentral:lncRNA from 1 species
UCAGUCUAGAGAGGCGCUUCGCUGGAGUGGUGGCGCAGCGCUCUCCUCGGGUAAACAUCCACCGUGAAGAAGAAAGAACGUCAGGAGCUAAGGUUUAGUUUAAACCUGUAGUUGCUGUUUGGAAAAUGAAGAUGCAGACCGCAGAUUGGUGGCUUAUAUGUUCUUCAUGCAAGGGCAGCAUGCUAAAGGAGAGAAGUAACUGCGCUGACCAGUGACUGAAAGCUGCGAGCAUUGGGACAGAUUGGCUGAAGACAAGGAAUUUCUAAGAGUCAGAAAGUCAAGACGGAAUUGUGCUAAGUCUUUCUCUGGCACAUGUGAGUAGGAGGAGGCAUCCUUUAUUAAAUGGAAGAUAAAGGCUACUUCAUCUAAAGUGUUUUGAACUUGAGAAAAGAGCUGUUUUCAGCACCUCACCAUGGGUCUGCUUAUUGUUGCUUAAACAAGCUGGGAGUUUCAUUAGCCCGGGGUAACAGAUACUGGUUUUGUUACUUGAAAGAAUUUUUGGUUGGAUUCAAAUGUGGCAGAAAUUCUGGAAAAAGACUGGAAAUAGCAUUCCAUAUUGGAAGAAGAGAUUUUUAUAGAUGAAAAAAAUGCCUUUGUUUAGCAAAUCACACAAAAAUC